rnacentral:rRNA from 1 species
UACGUAGGAUGCGAGCGUUGUCCGGAAUUAUUGGGCGUAAAGAGAACGUAGGCGGUUUCUUAAGUUUGGUCUUAAAGACCGGGGCUCAACCCCGGGAAUGGACUGAAAACUGGGAGACUGGAGGAUGUCAGAGGAAAGUGGAAUUCCGAGUGUAGCGGUGAAAUGCGUAGAUAUUCGGAGGAACACCAGUGGCGAAAGCGACUUUCUGGGGCAUUCCUGACGCUGAGGUUCGAAAGCUCGGGGAGCAAACAGG